CUACGAGUAGUUGCUCAUGCUUAUUAGCAAGGUAUUAUGGAAAAAUGUGACUUGAUGCCUUUUCUUCACUUUACAAAUACUUCUUGAAGUGACUUUGUGUGCUGUGGCUGAUGGAAUUCUAAGUUGGCACCAAGAGUCCUGCUCAUCUUCCCUCAGUCACUUAAUGAAACAUGAAUUGAGGUUGGGCCAUGAAGGAAUUCCGCAGAAGUAAUGAAGGUCUCAGCACAGCUGAGGAGCAGCCAACUCUGUACCAUGGGGCCUGCAGGAAAGCCUCUGAGCUGCUGUGGCAGAUUGGAUUCUCCUAAGCUGGCUGCACCAGCUUUUAUCCCACGCCCUGCUCUGUGCAUGGCAUGAUGCUCACACUCCUCCCUUUGAAUCUGGGUGGGACCACAACUACCAGGAAGUGAGGCUGUGGAACCUCCAAGGCAAAAUCCUAAGAGGUGGUAUAGCAUCUGCCUGGACACUUGCAUACUCAAUCAUGGAGCCACCACCGUGCAGUGAGGAGGCCGAGCAGCCACAUGGAGAGGUCACGUGCAGGUGCUCAAGACAGCCUCAGCCAGUAUCCAGCUUUUUUCAACCACCAGGCGGGUGAGGGGGCCAGCCAUGGGGUGAGGGGGCCAGCUGUCAGGUGAUUUCAUCCCCAGCCUUCGAGCUGUCCCGGCUGAUAUGAUGUGGAAGCAAACAGACUCAUCACACCCUGUGCACAUUGCAGAUUGGUGAGCAACAUGAAUGUGUUAACCUCUGCUAAGUUUUGAGGAGGCGUGUUCUUCAGCAACAUGGCUGGGACACCUGCCCUUGAUAAGGUACUGCCAAUUAUGAACCACACAGACAUCAGCCUUCACUGAUCUUCGGAGGACAGUGCCAGGUAUGCAGAAGAUGCCCACUUACUGUUUGUUGAAUGAAUGAACAAAUAAACUCAUGCAUGGCAGCUGCCCAUUCUAGCCACAUGCACACACAUAUGUAUCACAUCCUGUCUCCCAGACUUCUCCCAUCUUGUAGCAAUGGCUGUGGUUCAGA
rnacentral:lncRNA from 1 species